rnacentral:rRNA from 1 species
UAGGGAAUCUUCGGCAAUGGACGGAANNNUGGACCGAGCAACGCCGCGUGAGUGAAGAAGGUUUUCGGAUCGUAAAGCUCUGUUGUAAGAGAAGAACGAGUGUGAGAGUGGAAAGUUCACACUGUGACGGUAUCUUACCAGAAAGGGACGGCUAACUACGUGCCAGCAGCCGCGGUAAUACGUAGGUCCCGAGCGUUGUCCGGAUUUAUUGGGCGUAAAGCGAGCGCAGGCGGUUAGAUAAGUCUGAAGUUAAAGGCUGUGGCUUAACCAUAGUACGCUUUGGAAACUGUUUAACUUGAGUGCAAGAGGGGAGAGUGGAAUUCCAUGUGUAGCGGUGAAAUGCGUAGAUAUAUGGAGGAACACCGGUGGCGAAAGCGGCUCUCUGGCUUGUAACUGACGCUGAGGCUCGAAAGCGUGGGGAGCAAACAGGAUUAGAUACCCUGGUAGUCCACGCCGUAAACGAUGAGUGCUAGGUGUUAGACCCUUUCCGGGGUUUAGUGCCGCAGCUAACGCAUUAAGCACUCCGCCUGGGGAGUACGACCGCAAGNUUG